rnacentral:rRNA from 1 species
UACGUAGGGGCAAGCGUUGUCCGGAUUAUUGGGCGUAAAGAGCGUGUAGGCGGCCUGAAAGGUCAGCUGUGAAAACUCCGAGGCUCAACCUCGAGACGUCGGUUGAAACCAUCUGGCUAGAGUCCGGAAGAGGAGUGUGGAAUUCCCGGUGUAGCGGUGAAAUGCGCAGAUAUCGGGAAGAACACCCGUGGCGAAGGCGGCACUCUGGGACGGUACUGACGCUGAGACGCGAA